GCCCCGCCCCGCCCGGCCCGCGCAGGCCGCCGCCGCCAUGGCCGCGCUGCACGCCAAGGCCGGCGGCCCCCCGCAGAUCCCCGACACCCGCCGGGAGCUGGCCGAGCUGGUGAAGCGCAAGCAGGAGCUGGCGGAGACGCUGGCCAACCUGGAGCGGCAGAUCUACGCCUUCGAGGGCAGCUACCUGGAGGACACGCAGAUGUACGGGAACAUCAUCCGCGGCUGGGACCGCUACCUCACCAACCAGAAGAACUCCAACAGCAAAAACGACCGGAGGAACCGCAAGUUCAAGGAGGCCGAGCGGCUCUUCAGCAAGUCCUCGGUCACCUCGGCAGCGGCGGUCAGUGCAUUAGCUGGAGUUCAGGAUCAGCUGAUUGAGAAGCGGGAGCCAGGCAGUGGCACAGAAAGUGACACUUCUCCAGACUUUCACAAUCAGGAGAAUGAGCCCAACCAGGAGGAUGCUGAAGAGCUGGAUGGGUCUGUGCAGGGGGUGAAACCCCAGAAAGCUGCUUCCUCUACUUCUUCGGGGAGCCACCACAGCAGCCACAAAAAACGGAAGAACAAAAAUCGACACAGUUGUAUGCAUCCUGUAGUGUUCAUCAGGACCCCAUUGCCCCCAUUGUAUCAAGGAGGGGAAAGCAUGCUGAAGAAGAUGAACAAGCAGCACAGGGUACUAACUCCAGCUCUGGUACAGCUAGGCUUUUGACCAGGCUUUUUCAAUUCUCCUGUCUGUCCAGGAGAAUAAAGCUGUCUUCCUUCCAGUAGAGGAAGAUUGCAGUCCUGGCCUCCUGUGCUUGCUUCUUGGUUUCUGCAGAUCCAAGUAAGAUAGGAGUGUCAGUACUUUCUUUGGAGAAGGAGGGUGAAAAAGCAAAUUGGAAUGUUUUGGGGGUUGUGGACACUCCCAGUGCCUUCACUAAGAUUUCCACUCCAAGCCCUUUCAGCUGUCACGUCCCAGACUGAGUCUCUCUUGAUUAUGGCAUUUGCCAUGUUAACCUCAAAGUGUUUGUUAUUAAACUGACCUGAAAUUCCUGUGAAACAAAGAUUUCCUGAACUCUUUGUGGUUGAAUUUAGAUGACCAGUUCUGCCCCUUAAGGUAAGCCCCUAAGGUGUGAUGCAGCAUGGUGGGCUGACGACUUGGAAAUCUGAAAUAAACUCCCUGCCUUACAGUGCUGCUCUCCAUGGGCCAACACAGCCUGCUGCUUAACUGUGUCUUGGUGCCCCUCAGCAGAACUAGCCCAAGGCUUUCUACAGAGUAUGACAGUGCACUGCGGAGUCAGGCCCUAGGGGGAAGAAUCCAUGGAAAUACAUGCACUUGGAAAGAGGAGACAUUUACUGCACCUUUCUGGAAGUGAUUGCUGGAACUGGUGCCUAAAGAUUAUUAGAAGUAAAGGAGCUUUUAAAAAUCAAGUGUUCUUGCUAACUUUGAGCUUGUUGGCUUUGUGUGUGGACGGGCUUUCCUUUUUAAGGGACCUUCCCAUACAAUUACAAGAGAGAAAUGUUUUAAAGAAAAAAGUGGUAAAAAUUUACAAAGAUUGCUGGGGGAAGGUUGGUUUGGGAGAUACAGAGGUAGGUAUAGUGCUUGAAAAAUGUUUAACAACUUUUUCUCCCUCGCUAGGUUUUGAGUCAUUAGCGUGUCUUUAAUUCUUAGAUCAGAAUUUUCUUCCUACUUAAUUGGGCAGACAUCCUGAAGUACUGGAUGUCCCUUUGGGUCCUCAUGAGGUGGGAAUCCAAAGCAGUUCAAAACUCUUUUUUUUGCCUGUAGACAAUUGGAAAGAAGUUCAGGAAUAACACGAGAAACUACAUCUGUAAACAAGUUCAGAGGAACAAUCUGUAAAACUGAAGUACAGCUUAAGAAAAUUGCUAUUUCAGACAAAUUAUAAAAUAUUCUACUAAGCACUUACAUGGACAGCAAACCAAUCCACUGCAGAUGCAGUGGGGUGCAAUACAAGUGCUGUAAAUAAUAUAAAUUCUUUUGCUCCGUUACAAAACCUGAACUUUAGCGACAGGAGUUAGAAGAAACUGGCCUACUGACAGGUUGUGUUGCAUUGGGGUUUCUUCUACAUUCCUUCCACUGAAGCAGCUGAUGCUGGCUACUGUCGGGGACAGAAUGUUGGACAUGAGGAGCCCUGGUCUGAUCUGGUAUGUAUAUUAGGUUAGGCUGGGAAGUUUUUUUUAAAAACAGAAAAGCGUGAUGGAGGAUUGAUCUCAAGUUAAACAAAAAGCCAAGAGCCGACUACUAGACUCAUCAGUGGUGAUGCUUCCGGGAUUUAGGUCUACAUGAAUCCCCACUGAGAAAAAUGCCAGUCGACUGAAUGAGCACGAUGGCAGCUCUCUGGCCAAGUGUCUGCAGAUGGGAGUGGCUCACUCUAAAGAACUUAGAUGGGAGAAAAUCUUGGACCAUGUACUUGCAUCAUUUUUAAAUCACCUGAGUUGCAGGAAGACUAAGGUGUAGUAGUAGUAAUAGUCCCGAGUUCCUGACUGUUCUGUGCUUCCACCUCAGUCAGGAACUUCCCAAAAUUGGCUGAUCUUGCUGCUGCCACCCCUGUCAUCUGCAAACCCAUGGAGAGGUAUUUCUUUUUCCACUGGAACUAGGGUAUGAUUCAGUAUGUCCCAUCUAUGUUGUAAGACUUAGAUUACUUUUGUUGCUGAUAAUUAGCAUUGUAGUUUUGGUUUUGCUUUGGUUUUUUGUUGUUUUUGUUUUUGUUUUAAACCAAAGUGUAUAGUUAACAAAUUGCCUUUGGGUUUCUUUGUUUUAAUCCAUGUAGAGUGGAAAGUUCUUAAUUUCAUGGAACAGCUUCUUUUGAUUCUUACUCGAGCAGAGAAGAAGGUGGUUAACCCUUUUCUCUAACUUUAAUUUUAAACACCAUCCCCUAAAAUUUACACAGUGCUUUUAGAUGCAGGGAAGGCUGGAGCUCCAAAGCCAUCUUGCUCUUUGCUAUCUUUGAGGUUGGGUGGAUUCUCUUUUUAAUACAAACUUCUGUCAUUUGUACAUAAACAAUAAAAUUACAUGUUUGUCUCUCUUCUCA